rnacentral:rRNA from 1 species
AGAGUUUGAUCCUGGCUCAGAAUCAACGCUGGCGGCGUGCCUAACACAUGCAAGUCGAACGAGAAAGGGUAGCAAUACCUGAGUAAAGUGGCGCACGGGUGAGUAACACGUGACUAACCUACCCUGGAGUGGGGAAUAACUGAGGGAAACCUUAGCUAAUACCGCAUAACACCUACGGGUCAAAGGAGCAAUUCGCUUCAGGAGGGGGUCGCGGCCGAUUAGUUAGUUGGCGGGGUAAUGGCCCACCAAGACGAUGAUCGGUAUCCGGCCUGAGAGGGCGCACGGACACACUGGAACUGAAACACGGUCCAGACUCCUACGGGAGGCAGCAGUGGGGAAUUUUGCGCAAUGGGGGAAACCCUGACGCAGCAACGCCGCGUGGAGGAUGAAGUCCUUCGGGACGUAAACUCCUUUCGAUCGGGACGAUAAUGACGGUACCGAGAGAAGAAGCCCCGGCUAACUUCGUGCCAGCAGCCGCGGUAAUACGAGGGGGGCGAGCGUUGUUCGGAAUUAUUGGGCGUAAAGGGUGCGUAGGCGGUUUGGUAAGUCUGAUGUGAAAUCUAUGGGCUCAACUCAUAGUCUGCAUCGGAAACUGCCGGGCUUGAGUAUGGGAGAGGUGAGUGGAAUUCCUGGUGUAGCGGUGAAAUGCGUAGAUAUCAGGAGGAACACCUGUGGCGAAAGCGGCUCACUGGACCAUAACUGACGCUGAUGCACGAAAGCUAGGGGAGCAAACAGGAUUAGAUACCCUGGUAGUCCUAGCCCUAAACGAUGACUGCUUGGUGUGACGGGUACCCAAUCCCGCCGCGCCGUAGCUAACGCGUUAAGCAGUCCGCCUGGGGAGUACGGUCGCAAGGCUGAAACUCAAAGGAAUUGACGGGGGCCCGCACAAGCGGUGGAGCAUGUGGUUUAAUUCGACGCAACGCGAGAACCUUACCUG